GAUGAACGCUGGCGGCGUGCCUAAUACAUGCAAGUCGAGCGAAUAGACGAGGAGCUUGCUCCUCUGACGUUAGCGGCGGAUGGGUGAGUAACACGUGGAUAACCUACCUAUAAGACUGGGAUAACUUCGGGAAACCGGAGCUAAUACCGGAUAAUAUAUUGAACCGCAUGGUUCAAUAGUGAAAGACGGUUUUGCUGUCACUUAUAGAUGGAUCCGCGCCGCAUUAGCUAGUUGGUAAGGUAACGGCUUACCAAGGCAACGAUGCGUAGCCGACCUGAGAGGGUGAUCGGCCACACUGGAACUGAGACACGGUCCAGACUCCUACGGGAGGCAGCAGUAGGGAAUCUUCCGCAAUGGGCGAAAGCCUGACGGAGCAACGCCGCGUGAGUGAUGAAGGUCUUCGGAUCGUAAAACUCUGUUAUUAGGGAAGAACAAAUGUGUAAGUAACUAUGCACGUCUUGACGGUACCUAAUCAGAAAGCCACGGCUAACUACGUG
rnacentral:rRNA from 1 species